CAUUGAGAAGCUAUGAACCAAGCAUUAGCCUUUUAAGCUAAAGAAAGAGGGAUUAACCCCUCCUCAAUGG
rnacentral:tRNA from 1 species